ACUCUAGUGAGACUGCCGGUGACAAACCGGAGGAAGGUGGGGAUGACGUCAAGUCCUCAUGGCCCUUAUGGGUAGGGCUUCACACGUCAUACAAUGGUCGGUACAGAGGGUUGCCAAGCCGCGAGGUGGAGCCAAUCCUUAAAGCCGAUCGUAGUCCGGAUCGUAGUCUGCAACUCGACUACGUGAAGUCGGAAUCGCUAGUAAUCGCAGAUCAGCAUGCUGCGGUGAAUACGUUCCCGGGUCUU
rnacentral:rRNA from 1 species